GAGUUUGAUCCUGGCUCAGAUUGAACGCUGGCGGCAGGCCUAACACAUGCAAGUCGAGCGGCAGCACGGGUACUUGUACCUGGUGGCGAGCGGCGGACGGGUGAGUAAUGUCUAGGAAUCUGCCUAGUAGUGGGGGAUAACGUCCGGAAACGGGCGCUAAUACCGCAUACGUCCUACGGGAGAAAGUGGGGGAUCUUCGGACCUCACGCUAUUAGAUGAGCCUAGGUCGGAUUAGCUAGUUGGUGAGGUAAUGGCUCACCAAGGCGACGAUCCGUAACUGGUCUGAGAGGAUGAUCAGUCACACUGGAACUGAGACACGGUCCAGACUCCUACGGGAGGCAGCAGUGGGGAAUAUUGGACAAUGGGCGAAAGCCUGAUCCAGCCAUGCCGCGUGUGUGAAGAAGUCUCCGGAUUGUAAAGCACUUAAGUUGGGAGAAGGCAGUUACCUAAUAC
rnacentral:rRNA from 1 species